rnacentral:rRNA from 1 species
AGCAGCCGCGGUAAUUCCAGCUCCAAUAGCGUAUAUUAAAGUUGCUGCAGUUAAAAAGCUCGUAGUUGAAUUUCGGGACCAAUAUGUCGGUCGUGCCUCGGUACGUACUGGCAUCGUUGGUUUCUCCCUUCUGAAGAACCAUGAUGUCAUUCAUUUGGUGUCGUGGGGAAUCAGGACUGUUACCUUGAAAAAAUUAGAGUGUUUAAAGCAGGCUCACGCUUGAAUACAUUAGCAUGGAAUAAUGAAAUAGGACGUUUGAUUCUAUUUUGUUGGUUUCUAGGAUCGACGUAAUGAUUAAUAGGGAUAGUUGGGGGGCAUUAGUAUUCAAUUGUCAGAGGUGAAAUUCUUGGAUUUAUUGAAGACUAACUACUGCGAAAGCAUUUGCCAAGGAAUGUUUUCAUUAAUCAAGAACGAAAGUUAGGGGAUGAAGACGAUCAGAUACCGUCGUAGUCUUAAACCNUAAAACCUAUGCCGACUACGGGAUCGGACGAAGUUAAUUUUAUAAUUGACGCGUUCGGCA